UAGGGAAUCUUCCGCAAUGGGCGAAAGCCUGACGGAGCAACGCCGCGUGAGUGAUGAAGGUCUUCGGAUCGUAAAACUCUGUUAUUAGGGAAGAACAAAUGUGUAAGUAACUGUGCACGUCUUGACGGUACCUAAUCAGAAAGCCACGGCUAACUACGUGCCAGCAGCCGCGGUAAUACGUAGGUGGCAAGCGUUAUCCGGAAUUAUUGGGCGUAAAGCGCGCGUAGGCGGUUUCUUAAGUCUGAUGUGAAAGCCCACGGCUCAACCGUGGAGGGUCAUUGGAAACUGGGAAACUUGAGUGCAGAAGAGGAAAGUGGAAUUCCAUGUGUAGCGGUGAAAUGCGCAGAGAUAUGGAGGAACACCAGUGGCGAAGGCGACUUUCUGGUCUGUAACUGACGCUGAUGUGCGAAAGCGUGGGGAUCAAACA
rnacentral:rRNA from 1 species